UUAUUGUUGAUGUUGUUACAGGGUGGUUAAGCUUCACCAGUGGCCUCCUUCCCGAGGCAAUUCCCUGCUCUCCCCUGCUAGAGGGGCACCCUAAGCCAUUCACCCCAUCCGACUUCAAAGUGUACUCUUUGAGUUUGGCAACUCACCACCAGCAUCCAACCAAGUCUAGCGGAUCAACGGCGCGUCAUGUUAGUUCCUGGUCAGCUCGCGAGUUGAUUUUAUCACGUCCUACACCGUCCACAAGAUGGGGGGCCACCUCCCAUUUCAUCACCUCUCCAACACCCCAAGAGGUCGGCAGGCGGAUUUGAACCCGGACGCGUCGGGACGCGAUGGGAGCAGAAGCCAGGCCUUAACUUCUGCCAGCCGCCUGCCUUAUUGUUAUAUGCUGUGGGUGGGUACCGAGAGGUAACAGCUCAACCUUAUCCAGGUUAAGUUGCUGUCCAGAAGCCUGUGCGUACACCCUCAUACAGUCAAGGAAAGCCGGAAUUGCUUGGAUUCCUUCUAAAACAACUUCCGUAUCGUCAGCAAAUUGCACACCUGUAACCAAUUCUGAAUUAUUUUGGGGUAAAUGAAUCCCCACUCGGUUGUAUUGUAACCAACAUAGUAACGCCUGCGCGGCAAACAAGUAUAGCAACGGUGCCAACGGACAUCCCUGUCGCACACCCGCUGUAAGAGCAACUUCACGGGAAACAAAACCAUUUACUACCGCUUUCGACGCUGUAUCGGAUAAAAGAAGUUUAGUCCAACUAAUUAACCCUGCUCCUGCGCCCAUAGCAUCCAUUGCUUCAAAUAAAAAAUUACGAUCCAAGGAAUCGUAAGCUUUAGCAAUAUCCAAAAAAUCCAGGAGACACGACUGUCCUGUCGUCGACAUAAGUUGCGGUAGAUGCCGCAGGAAAGAACAUUUGCACCUAUCAAGCGCUCCGGCAGAAAAGCAGACUGCUCGAGCGUGAUAAUUCGCCCUAGUAUUGGACUCAGCCUACGGGUUAAAAUUUUGGUGAGAAUCCUGUAAUCUGUAUUCAACAAGGUAAUCGGUCGAUAACUACCCGGGGAGGUGGGAGACCCCCGAUUUUUAUAAAUAACCGUGAUAGCACCUUGCAAGAAGCCAUCUGGGUGCAUUUGGGUUUGGCCCAUGGCUGUAUACAGUUGAGCAAGAACUGGUGCAAUCUCGUUCCGACACACCUUGUAUAAUUCAAUUGGGAUGCCAUCUAGACCGGGCGCUUUGCCUGGCGUCACUUCCUUGAGCACCGCUUCCACUUCAGCGUCAGACACCUCCGAUCUUCCUACAUGAUACGCAUCCUCCUCCGGAAUGACAAGGUGGCGGUUCCGCAGCGCCUCUAUAACAGCCAUCCUAGCCUCUUCAGUCACAUGAGUUGGGGAGGAACAAAUCUCUCCCCAAAAAUCCGCAACCAUCUGUGGCAACUUUAUCGUGUCUGUAAUAAGACGACCCGUUCUAUCUUGCAACGCUGGAAUAACUUGUAGAGUCUUAGACGGAUGCACAAGGGCAGUUAGCCCUCUACUAGGUCGUUCACCCUCACGAAUCCACUGUAAUCUAACCCGUUCCGCCUCCUGUGCACCUUCAGCUCUAGCCGCUUGUACAACCGCUACUUGGGCGUCAAUUGCCGCUUGGAUCCUCUGUGUACUCAUAUGUUCGGUCUGCACCUCUUCUAGUGCCCGUGUUGCAUUUUCUAUUGCCAAACGUACUUGCCCCCCCGGGGGAAACGACGUUCUCGCGCUUGCCGAUUAAGACAGUUAUUUCAUUGANNNNNNNNNNNNNNNNNNNNNNNNNNNNNNNNNNNNNNNNNNNNNNNNNNUCACCCAAGGCGGACGCACUAAGACUGGUUGGAGUAAUGCUCCCACAUAACGCACUGCCCAGCAUGCCCAUCGCGCUUGCACAUGUUGUCGUACUGCUAAUGCCCCAAAACCGCCCAAAGUUGGAUGGCCAUAUAACAAAUAUUUAGCAACCCCGGUGAGUCGUCUUUCUUGUGCGACCGGUCCGAGGUUCCUAUCAAUAAGCUUGGCCGCUUUAGCCUCAAUAUUCAUGAGUUUAGCUUCUGGGGGAAACCCCCCUUGUUCCAUAUGCCAUGUAACACGAUGCAGCCCAUAUGCAGCCGCUGCAUGUGCACGCCCAAAAAUGGAAAGAUUUAACACAGAAAUGCGUCGAAACCGAGCCCAGACUUUGUCUAGUUGCACAUCCCAGUCCCUGACUGUGGUUUCUCCCACAUCCGUAAAAGGUAGAUUGAGAGCCGUAGCCAUAUGUACGACCUUCAUGUCAUGAUUUAUUGUUGAUGUUGUUACAGGGUGGUUAAGCUUCACCAGUGGCCUCCUUCCCGAGGCAAUUCCCUGCUCUCCCCUGCUAGAGGGGCACCCUAAGCCAUUCACCCCAUCCGACUUCAAAGUGUACUCUUUGAGUUUGGCAACUCACCACCAGCAUCCAACCAAGUCUAGCGGAUCAACGGCGCGUCAUGUUAGUUCCUGGUCAGCUCGCGAGUUGAUUUUAUCACGUCCUACACCGUCCACAAGAUGGGGGGCCACCUCCCAUUUCAUCACCUCUCCAACACCCCAAGAGGUCGGCAGGCGGAUUUGAACCCGGACGCGUCGGGACGCGAUGGGAGCAGAAGCCAGGCCUUAACUUCUGCCAGCCG
rnacentral:lncRNA from 1 species